CUAUACUGCAGUCGAGCGACAGACAAGGAGCUUGCUCCUUUGACGUUAGCGGCGGACGGGUGAGUAACACGUGGGUAACCUACCUAUAAGACUGGGAUAACUUCGGGAAACCGGAGCUAAUACCGGAUAAUAUUUCGAACCGCAUGGUUCGAUAGUGAAAGAUGGUUUUGCUAUCACUUAUAGAUGGACCCGCGCCGUAUUAGCUAGUUGGUAAGGUAACGGCUUACCAAGGCGACGAUACGUAGCCGACCUGAGAGGGUGAUCGGCCACACUGGAACUGAGACACGGUCCAGACUCCUACGGGAGGCAGCAGUAGGGAAUCUUCCGCAAUGGGCGAAAGCCUGACGGAGCAACGCCGCGUGAGUGAUGAAGGUCUUCGGAUCGUAAAACUCUGUUAUUAGGGAAGAACAUACGUGUAAGUAACUAUGCACGUCUUGACGGUACCUAAUCAGAAAGCCACGGCUAACUACGUGCCAGCAGCC
rnacentral:rRNA from 1 species